UAACAAUGAUUUCCCUAGUAACGGCGAGUGAAGAGGAAAGAGCUCAAAGUUGGAACCUGUUUGGCUUAGCUAAACCGGAUUGUAAACUGUAGAAGUGUUUUCCAGACACGCCUGGUAAAAAAGUCCUUUGGAACAGGGCAUCAUAGAGGGUGAGAAUCCCGUCAUUGGCCAGAGCUGUUGUCUUUUGUGAUACAUUUUCAAAGAGUCAGGUUGUUUGGGAAUGCAGCCUAAAUUGGGUGGUAAAUCUCACCUAAAGCUAAAUAUUUGCGAGAGACCGAUAGCGAACAAGUACCGUGAGGGAAAGAUGAAAAGAACUUUGAAAAGAGAGUUAAACAGUAUGUGAAAUUGUUAAAAGGGAACCGUUUGGAGCCAGACUGGCUUGAUCGUAAUCACUCUAGGCUUUG
rnacentral:rRNA from 1 species